rnacentral:sRNA from 1 species
UGUUUGAGUGGCACAGGGAAAACACCCUU